AGGGCGGGCGGGGGCCGUGCCGCCGCAGCGCGGCCGUUAUUAACCGCUUCGGCGCGGCCUUUGGUCCCGCCCUUGAGGCGGCCGGGCGUGAAGGGACGCAGGGACGGGGCGGGUGGUGCCUCGGGUCCGGGUCCGGUCCUGCCCCGUCUGGGGGGCUCUGGAUCCCGGAGGGGAGAGUUUCACCCAGGAAUGAAAGCGUGAGAAACACAGACUGAACCACGGGCCGCGACGCUGAGGGACUGAGGAAGGUAAAGGCUGAAGGAGCUGUCCCAGCAUCAGUUGGAGGAAGACACGGGAUGAGUGCAUGCAACGGCUGCUCUGCAGAAAAGCACUGACAAGCUGCAGGGAUUUCUCUGAGGCUUCUACCCUUCUUACAGAUAUGGCUGGUACUAUUCUGGUAAACACACUAGAAAAAAAGAAUGAUUGCCUGCUGUUUUCAUCACGAAGCCAGGCUCUGAAUAAUAAUAUACAAAGAAACUAUUAUGUUCAGAAGUUGUUAUAUGUUACCCAACUGUGCAAUGGGCAGAUAACACUAUAUUGCACAGUACUUUUAUUAUUCAAAUACAUGCAAUAGGACGCCAGUGGUUAUUUAUUAUGCAAAAAAAGUACUGGUUUGAAACUUAGAACUGAGAAUAACUAAAUCAAAUGAUUUUUAAAACCCAGAGUAUAUAUCAACUUUUACAUCUUUCUACCAGGAAUUUAUUCCUUCAAUAUCUGGCAAGCAAUGACCUGCAGUCACCAGGAACCUGGAGCACUCUUGGCCCUUGAAUGCUCAUGUCUGCCUCACAUUUGUUUGCACGUGUUAGGAGCAGAACACUUUUCCAUAGGUCCUUUGAUUUGACAGUGCUUUUUGAAGAACAAAGCAACCACAUUCAGAUUGCAGUUUAUUUCUGGUGGGGCUUGGACAAUAUCACAAGUGUUAAUUGCCAGUACUUACUAAGUCAAUGAACCAGUGGUGUCUUACUUGCAAUUUCCCAGCCAUUUUCUUGUGAUGCAAAAAACCUUUUUUAAAAAUCACGUGUUUUUGCUGUUCAUUUGCUAACUUCAGAACAGCUAAAGCACUUUAUUCUCUCAACUUAUUUUGUAACUACUCUUACUGUCUAGCAAGGCAAUCCAGUAAGCACAUAUAGCAAAGCAGCAGCACGCUGUAAUUGUAAAAUCAUUACAGCAGCAUGAGAAUGAAGAACGUUACCCUCUCAAAUGAACUUGAUGCUUGCUGUAUGUACUGGCAGUGUUCUAUCCCAUACUCUCUGUUUUGCAUUCUUUGUUCUACUGAAACAGCACCUUCCUGUGCUAUGAAGAGCAAUGAGAAAGUAAAUAGCUUUUACAAAUGCAUCCUCUGGAGAGGAUAAAAUUGGUUUCAACUACUUCUUUUAUUCAGCUAAGGAAAUGUGUGAACAUUUAUCCCAUUCAGCUCCAUUGCGUCUGAAAAGCAAUACAGGAAGGUUUGAAACAUUAGAGGAAUAACACCUAGAACAAUUUAAAUUGCACUGAAAAGCUGAGUAAGGAAACACAAUUAAUAGCCAGCCUAGAAGCUUUCCUAAAAAUACUUUACACACGGGAACAGAGCACUAAAACAGCACAACUAACCAUGUGUGCCAUCCCCCAUCAUCACUAACAUGCAAAAAACACUCAGUGUGGAAUAAAAGGGACUUCAUGCCAUCAGCACACUAGAAAAGUGUACCAGCACUUCCAUUUAAAGCUAUCAUUCUCCUUCUUAUUUUUUUAGUUAAAAAAAGACUAUUGGAUACCACAGAAAAAAAAAGGACACAUUUGAGGCUUUGCCAUUUCCAGAGUGUUUUUCAGAAACUCAGUAGCUCAGUUUACUUCAGUACUUCUUCCAGCUCCAGAUUAAGAUUAUCAUCUAGCAGAGAAGCCCAGCACUCAGUAUCUUUGUUUUUAUUCAGUAAGUGAAGAGUCUGUGUUUCACCCAAAGGGACUUUUAACUAAAAAGCCAACGUUUAACUAAAAAGCCAGCUUCAUAAGGUAACCUUUCAUUCAGCCGAAUGGAAAACCCUCCACUUCCUAGAUCAUCCUCCAAUGGAUUGUUGAUUUUUGUAGGCACACAAUUCAGAUCACACAGCCAGAACGAUUCCACAAGUUCAGGUGAUCAAUCUAGAAAAGUGUCACUGUUAACAGUUUAAAACACAAGGUCACUGUAAGUGAUAUAUAUGCAUUUUAGCAGUGUCUAAAUAGCAGCUACAUGAUUUGCAGAAGACUGCGCAGACUGUCUGAAGCAGCGAGUCAAAUAUAGGAGAAAAUGCAGCUCAGGGUUCACAAUUCUGCAAAAUAAGCCUCUGCAAAGGAUUCUGACAAUGAAUUUCACAGCACAAACAUCCUUAUGUAGUACCAGGUAACAUCAAAUUUAUACGUACAAACUAGACUGAAUUCACAGCUUAUAAUGACACCUUAGAGUUUGUGCCUUGGCAAGUAUAACUAGACAUGGAAGCGUUCUUAAAUGUUGUUAAUUUUCCUUUUAUAGUGGAUUGAAAUAACAUGCAUCUACAUAGGAAGAGAAAAUGUAGGGAUAGUACUGUCUGUAACAUCUUUUUCCCUAACGUUAGCACAUUAUCAGUGUAUCAAAGGCACAUGGCUGACAAUGCCAAGUUAAUUUGUGAAAACAUGAAACAGGCUUUAGAAUCUUUUAUAUCUGUAAAGGAAAGCACCAUUUUGGAAAAGACUGACCAAUAAGAUUAGAAGCAUUGUAAAUUUUCCAUUCAAAUGCUUAAUUCCAACUGCUUCAGGGCAGCCUUCAGGAACCACCACAGGAGCUUCAUUAAUUCCUUCUCACUGCACUUGUCAGAAGACAUCUAGAAGUGUGGAAGUGCAUUAGUUUAGGAAGCAGAGCUUACAGCCAUUAGAUAUUGAAUGGAACGUCCAAAAAAUCAAGUGCCCCGAUUCCAACAAUCAACCCCAACUCUCCACAAACGCUCACUCUAUUUCAAAGAAAUCACACAUAUUCACUCCUUAGUAUUUUACACUGAACAGACCAGCACAGAUCCUUCCACAGGUCUUACGUCAGCAACUGCCUAUGAUUUAUUGAAGAUAAAUCUUAAAUACUACCAAGAGCUUAACUUACUUACAAGCACAGAAUCCCUACUUUUUCAGACUUCUUAAUGUUGCCUCAGGUAGCUACAAUUGUUUCCACACACACUGCUUUCAAACAGCAAAGAAGAAACAUGUAACUAGUAAUAGUUAUUCUAAGACAGAAAUGAAGCACCACUCUUCACAGCGUAACAUUUCAAAGUAGCUUUUAAUUGCAGAGUGGUGCUAAGUCCCAGCUAUCAUGCGUAGGAUAUGUGCUGAUGCUGGUUAUGACAACAUUAUUUCAUCCCUUCUGCAGUAAAACAAAAAAAUCAUUGUAGCUGUGUAAUCUCAUGACAAGCAUAUGCCUAGAAUAAUAGCGUACACUCUGCAACUGCUGCUCAGUUCCUAUUAGAGGAUUAUAACUUGUUAUUUAUGAGCAUUAAUGGCAUCUAGACACAGUAUUUAAAUCUCUCUCAGGAAGUGUUAAAAAUGCUAAGAGCGUUGCUGUGGUAGCAGACAUACUAUAUUUAGUAAAUGAACUCUGAAAUAUUCUGUUGCAUUAUUUAAGCAUUCCACUAUCUUAAUAAUACUCCAAAGAUUUUGUAGAAAACCAUCACCAUCUAGAGUAUGGGUAACAGAAGAACAAAAAGCCGGCAUUCUAGCAAGGAUUCUUCAGGAAGCUGUAAGUUGGAACAUUAAUAGAGUCAGUGAACUUGUUACAAAUAAUUCUUUUGGAAGUGAGCACUUGUCAAAGCAUGAAGUGUCUACUGUGACUUAUUGAGUGCCAGAAGUUAGGUAUGCUCCAAAAACUUGGGAACUGCAAGGUACAACUUCAUAUCAGAUGAGUAACAACACAGCCCUAAUUCGUAUUUGUAAAGUAACUGCUUAUAUGACUUAAACAGUACUAAUACAGCGUAUUUUGUUUGGAAUUAUUUUAUUUGGGUUAUAGCAAUUAGUAUCACUGGUCAGUAGGCCAAAUCCAGGCAGAGAGCACAGAAUCAGUUUCACAAGGCAACAACACAGACUAGUAGUUUAGCAUACAAACCAUUUCACCGCAUUUUCAAGUAGAAAUAUCUUCCAAACAUGCAUAAAAUUUUAUGCUUAGUCUUUCAGAGCUCCACGUAAUACCAGAUUCCUAAAUAUACAAAAAAUACAUUUAACUUAUAAUAAUCUUAGUGAAUCAGACUUAGAAAAUUACAGUUUUAUUCUUCACAACAUAGAAAAAAAUACAAAAAUGACUGUAGAUAGUUUUCCCCAAAAUUUCACCAACAAAUAUACAUCAAAGCACACGAUUUGAUGUAUACUCAUGAAAAUUUUAAGAUGAAAGCUAGGUUUUUAAAUGACACUGCAGAUUGGUCUACACAAAUGCCAACCUUGCUAUUGGUAAAUAAAAAAACUUGGAUAGAAACAUCACAUUGUGAAGAAUUACAAUUCACCUGCACCGUAGUAUGCAUUGUGCUGUAAUUUACACUAUGGAUAUUUCUACAGUUCCAGUUGUAAGCUCGACACUGGUAAGAACCUUGGUCUUCUGGAGGGUAAUGACUAACUUGGUCAAAGCUGGCAUGGUAGAACGCAAAGUACCAUCAACUGAACCAGUGCACAUAACACAAAGACAACCAAAGCAAAAAACAUCUGCCACAGCAGUUUGAUGAUGCUGAUAGAAAACAUGCAAGCCAAGUAAAUGAUCUGUGGGGGAGAAAAAAAACCCACCAACUUGUAGAUUUGUGAACAAGAGUACUAAUCAACGCUUUUAUUAUAAAAUCCACAUACUGUGUUACAGCUUUAGUGACUGAAAAGAGGAAAUAUACUUACUAAGAUGGCAAAAAACACACGUGACCAAAGUCAGUGCUAGGGAAAACCCUAACAAUAUUAGGGGAUCGCACUACAGUUUGUACUCAGGUUCACCUUCCAGUCAUUUCCGUGGAAGCCCAACAUGAACAAGCACUAAAUUUUUCAUAGUUCAGAUUUUUCCUUUAGAAGGAAAAUGAACUCUUCUUCUCAAAAAGUUAAAGGCAAAUUAAUAAUUUCAAUUAAAUAUUUCAUAAUAAAGCUUACUCGGCAAGGAGGCUGGUUGUACAAGCCUCUUCCAUAUCAGGAGUUCUCUCUGCUUCUCCAUAUUGUUCACGCUAUCUAAUACAGACAUGUACUACAACUGUCUCAUCAGUAGAGCUCUAAGUUUGUUUCAUACAGCAGCAUUAAACAACCACUUUUUCCUUGGAAAUUGGAACUACAAAUUUGAAUCAAAGUCUCGGUUUGUCUCUGUGCCUAAAUACAAGAAAAAAUGAAGGAGCUGAGAACCCACAACAUCCAAUAACCAGAAUCUAUCAUGAAAUCACAUUUCUCAGAUGACAUUCUUCAGAAAUGCUGUCACAAACAUCUUUGAUAGCACGAACAAACAAAAGGAGAUGUUUUGUUCAGAUGUGGAAGUUUUAAACAAUGAGUUCAGUAUGAUGCAACAUUUCUCAGACAACCAGAGCAAAGAAAUACACUGACUAACAGAGGAACGAAUUUGAAUUGUUUCAUCUUUGAAUGCAGAACCCCACUGAGGUUGAAUGCUGCCACAGUAUUUUUGCUUACAGCCUACAAAUGGCUACAAAAGGUUCAAAAUAGAAGCAAAGACCGUUAUUGUCUCUUAUCCUCUUCCAGCAUCUAAUAGUCAGGUUUUGAACAAUAGGUUUAAUAGUCAGUAUUUUGAACAAGAAAGUUGUUACACGUUACUGAAUGCUAGGAAUGUCCAAUCAGACAUUUUGAAGGAACCAAAAGAAAUGACUAAAAUUGCAGGAUUUUGUGUUUGUUUGUUUUUUAACUUAAUAUAGCUCUGACAAAUGCGAAAACAGAGAGUAUUUGUAAAUGCGGCUCUGCACCAGCACUAGAACAAAGAGGCAUUGCACUUAGUACUUACUGCCCUACGUUCAGGGAGAACUGCAAGGUGUCACACACAAGUAAUUGGGACACAGAUAUGGAUUGUGCCCAGGGAGAGGUAGGUGCUGGUGGGCAUAAAACAUUCACACCUUAUUUAUGCAGUAAAUCAUGAUGUUACAAGAAGGAAGUCACAGACACCCUUGCCUUGUUGUCUAGUAGCUCCAAAGGGGCAAGGACAGCACUAUUUAAUUUUCAAUAUGUGACACAGCAAUGACCAUUAGCCACAUUUCCUUUUGCCUUUGAUUAGAUGUCUAUUCAUCUUCCCAGUCCCUUUGUGCCUUCUAUUUAUUGCCCCCUCCCCACUUAACAUUUUUGCUCAUAUUCUGGGCCACUGCUCAUACAGCAGUAGUAGAUUCUGCUUCAUCACAUGGCUCAGUCCUUUUAUUUUCUGCUUCACCUUCCCAAGGGAAGGUUUAGCCUGAGAACCCUGAGCAAGCACCUUGGAAAAUCUACCUUUCCAUGCUCUUCUGCUGUUUCAAAAGAGCAGAUAAGGGAAAGGUAGUCCAAUCUGUAAAAGCAGCAAGUAAUG